rnacentral:rRNA from 1 species
UACGUAGGGGGCGAGCGUUGUCCGGAAUUACUGGGCGUAAAGAGAGCGUAGGCGGCACUACAAGUCUCAUGUGAAAUACCCGGGCUUAACUUGGGGGUUGCAUGGGAAACUGUAGAGCUUGAGUACAGGAGAGGCAAGCGGAAUUCCUAGUGUAGCGGUGAAAUGCGUAGAUAUGUGGAAGAACACCAGUGGCGAAAGCGGCUCUCUGGUCUGUAACUGACGCUGAGGUUCGAAAGCGUGGGUAGCAAACAGG